AGUUUGUGAUGUGGAUAAUUACAUAGAAGAGACUUAAAUCUCUCACAUGCAUGAUAGAAAUUCUCAUCUAGCUUUUGUUUGAAACUCAAGAUCUCACUCAUCAACCC